GACGAACGCUGGCGGCGUGCUUAACACAUGCAAGUCGAACGGAGUGGCGAACGGGUGAGUAACACGUGGGUGAUCUGCCUUGCACUUCGGGAUAAGCUUGGGAAACUGGGUCUAAUACCGGAUAGUGCAAGAGGAGCUCGCGGCCUAUCGGCUUGUUGGUGGGGUAAUGUCCUACCAAGGCGUCGACGGGUAGCCGGCCUGAGAGGGUGUACGGCGACAGUGGGACUGCACUACGGGCCAGACUCCUACGGGCGGCAGCAGUGGGGACUAUUGUACAAUGUGCGGAAGCCUGAUGCAGCGACGCCGCGUGGGGGAUGAAGGCCUUCGGGUUGUAAACUCCUUUCGACAGGGACGCGGUACCUGUAUAAGGAGCACCGGCUAACUACGUGCCAGCAGCCGCGGUAAUAC
rnacentral:rRNA from 1 species